rnacentral:lncRNA from 1 species
UCGAAAAAUUUCAUUCGAUAGCCUUAGUUACAGCAUGAGAUAAACUAUUGUCGUGAGAUAAACAUGUCCAAAGGUCACAUUUUUGUCACUUAUUAUACUAGACAUCUCACAGAACAAGAAUUUGAGAGGUACAAUCCGAAAGUGUCCCUUUUUGCCGCAUGCGAUCCCUAUACAGCGCCUCAAGUGUUGUUUACACCCAUGAGACAGGCAGAUAAGCUGUCAGCAUUUAUGUCUACCUCAUAGAAAACUCAUCAUCCUACACAGGACGCUCCAUGAGGGCAUAUAAAAGCAUUGCCAGGGUAACCCACUCCCUGAACCUUAGUGAAACUCUAACGCAUUCAUGGGUAGAAAUCUAGGAGAAUGUAGUUGUGCUUGUAUGUUCACAUGUGGAAGCUGUACUAUUUGCAGUUACAGCUGCAGAAAGGGGCAUGCUGAGAGUACAAGAAUCAGUUUCACCAGAAAUCAGUGUAAGAGACAUCUACUGAAGACAGCUGCUCCCAGACCCCACCACUGACAGUUAAAUCAUGUAAGGAUUUUGACACCAAGCCAUAUGAAAGUGAAGCUGAAGAACCAGAGAGGUGCACUUCUUUCGGUAGUUACUGGACAUGCAGAUAGAUAUGUUCCUCGAACAUUUCAUCCCCAGUCCCUAACCUCUCUCUACCCAAGUGGUUUGUUCGAAUGGGACAUUCAUCAAUUACUUUUCAAGAGUAAAAAAAGUUGGUCGUGAAAUUAAUUUUGCCACAUGAAAAGUGUCAUUUCAUUGAAAAAGAGACUCGAAAACAAGCAAAGAGCAAGGUCUGGUUCAGUCAGAGAGCAGGAAGAGUGACAGCAUCCAACUUCAGUGCAACAGCAAAGAAAACCCCAAGCUAAUCAUCUGUGUCCCUCAUCAAAAAAGAUCUGCUAUCCCCAUUCAUACAAGUUCACAAAUGAGCAAUCAGCACAAAAGUCAACUGGAAAUUACAUUGUGUUACGUAUUUUAAACAAUAGCCGUGUAAAGACGUAGAACGUCAGCCCGACUAAAGACCUGAGUUGUGUGUGAGACACAUACGCCUACAUCUGACGUAGAUAACCUAGCAACAGCUCGAGUAAAGAUGUGUCUAGUGUUAGACACCUACAGGUUACAUAUGUCUACAUCUGACGUAGAUAAUUUAUAACAACAGCUCGAGUAAAGAUGUGUCUAGUGUUAAACACCUACAGGUUAUGUAAGUCUUCUUAUUCUUCGCCCGUCGUUCCACCUUUUUUUAUUAAAUUUUAGACCAGAGCCCAACAGAUCUUCAGUAGAUAUCUCCAAGACUCGCUGACCGUGACUGGAACUCUUUUACUCUUCGGUAUGUCAUCAUCAAUCACCAUUAGUUUCUUCAUUACUUGUAAGUUCGAGAUGUUCGACUUUUAACCUGUUCACAAUGGACUUUUUUUGACAGCCCUUGAUGGAGCAAAUUCAUCUAUCAAGCCCAAAGAUGCUGUGGUGGCACUCAAAAAUUGGUUUGAUGCUGGCAAUGAUAGUAACGAUAGCAGUAGCCGUCCUUCAGAUCAGAAGAACAAGUGCAAGCCUCCAAAUUCAAACAGACAAUGAAGAAAGAUCGCAUAAUUUGAUUUGCGAAUCAAAAAGAGAUAAUCAGCUAGUGCGUGUGACAGUUGCUAGUAAUGUGGUGCAGACACUCCAAAACUGUUUGUCUCUUCGUUUCUUUGACUACUUAUAUAUAUAUAACUUCUGACUGAAACAGCAGA